AAAAGGACUUCAUUCCGGUCGAUCGCCAGGACUUCCAUCGACGGUAAGACGCCAAAAGGACUCAUCGGAGGAGUAUACUCCUUUCUUCGUUUAAAAUGGGUCCCCGGAGAUGCCUCCGAAGAACGGAGGACCGAAAUGAGAGUGGCGCGUGUGAGAAAUGGACCUGAUGGGUAUCCGAGGGCCAGAGGAAUCCGGUGCCCUGAUAUGCGGGCCCAUUUUUUCAGUGUCCUUAUGCAUGUCCUUCCCUCCGUAUAAAUGUGCAGGGACUCUUUGGGUUGCGUUUCUCCGCCAAUCUGCUUCGCGACUCGAGGAUUUAUAUCCUUUUUACUUCCAGGAAGGCCAGUUUCGCCAGAGGCAUUUGCAUUUCUAUCGUAAAAUUGCGAUAAACUUUUGGCCCAACAUUCUCAGCCAGAUUGCGACCAUAAAUGUAUUUAUCAAAAAGAUCUUUACCGACAAAUAUGGAAAUGCAGACGAUAAAUGCAUUCAACACACAUAAAAUGUGAUCAUCAGACUACAAGAAUAACGAAAAACCGGUUAUGUUCUGCUAAAUUAUCGCUUUGCACACGGCAGAACUCAUCUUCAAAAUCUCGCGUAACAAUCGCAGAACGUAAAAGGGGGUUCCGUUUCAUUCACCCCCUCCAGCGUUGUUCGAUUUGGGUCUAAUUCCUGAACAGGUCUUGGGCUGCCCAUUUUAAACAGGUCUCUGUUGUAUCGCACGAUCUUUGGAAUCAGUAUUGAAACGACAACGGUCCAGCGACACCAGAGCGUUCCAGAGAAGCAAAGAGUUUACCCUUCCUGCCGAAGAUGCUACUAAGAUUGUCGUGCUUGGUUCUUGCCCUUGCGAUCAUGCUGGUAAUCACACCGGAUCGUGGAGUAUCAGCCGGGAUUCCCCAUCGAGUCCGUAGAGCCGGAAUUUCCAAUGAUGCCGAAAUCCAGGGUGUACGUGAGCUACCACCAACAUUUAGCGUCGUUCAGCCGGAAGUAUUUUUCGUGUCUUAUGGAACCGGUAACUUCAGGGAUGACGUCAAAAUUGCGCCCUCACUUCAGCGAUACAUUGCAUGAGAUUAACAUAAAACGCACCCAGAAUAUGUUGG